UACGGGGGGGAGCAAGCGUUGUUCGGAUUUACUGGGCGUAAAGGGCGCGUAGGCGGCCAGCACAAGUCAGUUGUGAAAUCCCCGGGCUCAACCCGGGAACUGCGUCCGAUACUGGCAGGCUUGAAUCCGGGAGAGGGAUGCGGAAUUCCAGGUGUAGCGGUGAAAUGCGUAGAUAUCUGGAGGAACACCGGUGGCGAAGGCGGCAUCCUGGACCGGCAUUGACGCUGAGGCGCGAAAGCCAGGGGAGCAAACGGG
rnacentral:rRNA from 1 species